GAAUUCUAUGGCCGCGGCACUCUGGCUGACCUCGUCCAUCUUCUCACACUGGUCACCACGGUGUAGCAGUUUUUGUUUAUUUUUCUUUUUAGUCAAAAUGCUGCUUGAUACAUCUUUUGCCUUUACUGACUAAGGGUGGAUUUGAAUAUCAAUCCUAAACCUAGCAGGCAGGGAAAGCAGUGGAAAAAGUGUGUGCAAGGGGUCAGGGUGUACAGGAGACAGGGGUGGACAGUGGGGUGAUCUGUGUGUCAGUUUUAGACAAACUUUAGCAAUACGGGUGUUUGAAUCCAUGACCACUGCCCACUAGGGGGCACUGUGGUUCCUUGAUGCUGCCUGGAGCCAUGAGGAGGGUUUGGGAAGGUAGUUCAGGAGCCUAAGGCCUAGGAAGCCUUAGCUGCUUGCUUUAGUCCAGCAGGUGAUUUGAAUUCAGGGUGGGCCCAGGAUUUGUGGAGUUAGACUCUUGAUGGGAAGGGAAGGGUCCGGGUGCCUCAGCCCUCAGAAGGCACAGAGGAGGAAACUUCUCUGCAUUUGCCUGGGCAAAAGACUGGAAGGGACUAGGGCUGGAGGGCUCGGGAAGCAGUGUCAGGGCAGCAGCCAGGACGGCAAGAGGCGGAACUAGAGCCUGAGAAAAUGGUAUGUGGUGGGCCUGUGGGCCCUGUGUUCAAAAUGACUCCUUCUUUAGUUGAGGGGCUGAACAAGAGGUCUCAGAGCUUGGUCCUGCUAGGGUGAGGUGUGCUUGGUGGCCUGUAGGGGGAGUAAAGUCAUAAUGACACUUCAGGCUCAUGUCCCUGUCAGGCGACAGCUACCCAACCUGAGAAGCUCAGCCCCAGAGACUUGUGCAGAGCUAGGGGAUGCCUAGGUUCCUAACUACCAUGAGAUUCAGGCUUCUCUGCUGUGUGGCUCUUUAUCUCUUGCGAUCAGGCCUGGCUGCUUCUGAAGUCACCCAAACCCCCAAACACCUGAUCAAAGCACGAGGACAGCAAGGGACACUGAGAUGCUCCCCUGUCUCUGGGCACCUUUCUGUGUACUGGUACCAACAGACCUCGGACCAGGGUCUCCAGUUUCUCGUUCAACAUUACAAUGGAGAGGAGAGAGAAAGAGGGAACAUCCCGGAUCGAUUCUCAGCACAGCAGUUCAGCAACUCCAGCUCGGAGCUGAACCUGAGCUCCUUGACUGUAGGAGACUCAGCCUUGUACCUCUGUGCCAGCAGCUUGGCACAGCCCUGCUCGGUCGUCAGCCUGCUGUGCAAAAACGAUCCUGCCCUGCUCAGGAAGUGGCCCUGAUGGUGGCACUGCCAGCCAGCUGGCUGAGGCCCUGGAGAGAGGCCGGUCUUCCAGAUACUCGUGGUGCUCACAUAUGUGAUCUGCCUUAAUGUUUGCAGAAAUCAUGCAAAACUCGUGUUAUUUUAUGUUUCUGCACCUGAGGGAAAGAAGUCAUCUUUGAUGCCUUUUUUUUUUUUUGAGAGUUUUUUGCU